rnacentral:rRNA from 1 species
AGUGAACGCUGGCGGCGUGCCUAAUACAUGCAAGUCGAACGAAGUGGCGCACGGGUGAGUAAUAUAUAGUUAAUCUGCCCUACACAGAGGAACAACAGUUGGAAACGACUGCUAAUACCUCAUAGUGUAGGAUGAGACUAUAUCGUAUCAGCUAGUUGGUAAGGUAAUGGAUUACCAAGGCUAUGACGCGUAACUGGUCUGAGAGGAUGAUCCAUCACAUUGGAACUGAGACCCAGUGCAAACUCCGUCGGGAGGCAACACUAAGGAAUGUUGCGCAAUGGGGGAAACCCUGACGCAGCAUCGCCGCGUGGAGGAUGACACUUUUCGGAGCGUAAACUCCUUUUAUCAGGAAGUCGGUACCUGAUGAGUAAGCACCGGCUAACUCCGUGCCAGCAGCCGCGGUAAUUC